GAUGAACGCUGGCGGCGUGCUUAACACAUGCAAGUCGAACGGAUUUAACAGAAAGCUUGCUUUCGGUUAAAUUAGUGGCGGACGGGUGAGUAACGCGUGGAUAACCUGCCGUAUACAGGGGGAUAACACUUAGAAAUAGGUGCUAAUACCGCAUAAGCGCACAGUUUCGCAUGAGACAGUGUGAAAAACUCCGGUGGUAUACGAUGGAUCCGCGUCUGAUUAGGUAGUUGGUGGGGUAACGGCUCAUCAAGCCGACGAUCAGUAGCCGGCCUGAGAGGGUGAACGGCCACAUUGGGACUGAGACACGGCCCAAACUCCUACGGGAGGCAGCAGUGGGGAAUAUUGCACAAUGGGGGAAACCCUGAUGCAGCGACGCCGCGUGAGUGAAGAAGUAUUUCGGUACGUAAAGCUCUAUCAGCAAGGAAGAAAUACCGACCUUUGGUCGCUAGACGGUACUUGACUAAGAAGCCCCGGCCAACUACGUG
rnacentral:rRNA from 1 species